GGAGAGGUGGCAGAGUGGUCGAAUGCGGCGGUCUCGAAAACCGUUAACGGGUUUACGCCCGUUCGGGGGUUCGAAUCCCCCCCUCUCCGCCA
rnacentral:tRNA from 2 species